UACGUAGGGGGCAAGCGUUGUCUGGAAUCAUUGGGCGUAAAGCGCGUGUAGGCGGCUUCGUAAGUCCGUUGUGAAAGUCCAGGGCUCAACCCUGGAAUGCCGAUGGAUACUGCGGAGCUAGAGUCCGGAAGAGGCGAGUGGAAUUCCUGGUGUAGCGGUGAAAUGCGCAGAUAUCAGGAGGAACACCAAUGGCGAAGGCAGCUCGCUGGGACGGUACUGACGCUGAGACGCGAAAGCGUGGGGAGCAAACGGG
rnacentral:rRNA from 1 species